GGCGGCGUGCCUAAUACAUGCAAGUCGAGCGGAUCUUCAUUAGCUUGCUUUUGAAGAUCAGCGGCGGACGGGUGAGUAACACGUGGGCAACCUGCCUGUAAGACUGGGAUAACUUCGGGAAACCGGAGCUAAUACCGGAUAAUCCUUUCCCUCACAUGAGGGUAAGCUGAAAGACGGUUUCGGCUGUCACUUACAGAUGGGCCCGCGGCGCAUUAGCUAGUUGGUGAGGUAACGGCUCACCAAGGCAACGAUGCGUAGCCGACCUGAGAGGGUGAUCGGCCACACUGGGACUGAGACACGGCCCAGACUCCUACGGGAGGCAGCAGUAGGGAAUCUUCCGCAAUGGACGAAAGUCUGACGGAGCAACGCCGCGUGAGCGAUGAAGGCCUUCGGGUCGUAAAGCUCUGUUGUCAGGGAAGAACAAGUAUCGGAGUAACUGCCGGUACCUUGACGGUACCUGACCAGAAAGCCACGGCUAACUACGUGCCAGCAGCCGCGGUAAUACGUAGGUGGCAAGCGUUGUCCGGAAUUAUUGGGCGUAAAGCGCGCGCAGGCGGUUCCUUAAGUCUGAUGUGAAAGCCCCCGGCUCAACCGGGGAGGGUCAUUGGAAACUGGGGAACUUGAGUGCAGAAGAGGAGAGCGGAAUUCCACGUGUAGCGGUGAAAUGCGUAGAGAUGUGGAGGAACACCAGUGGCG
rnacentral:rRNA from 1 species